UGGGGAAUAUUGCACAAUGGGCGCAAGCCUGAUGCAGCCAUGCCGCGUGUAUGAAGAAGGCCUUCGGGUUGUAAAGUACUUUCAGCGGGGAGGAAGGGAGUAAAGUUAAUACCUUUGCUCAUUGACGUUACCCGCAGAAGAAGCACCGGCUAACUCCGUGCCAGCAGCCGCGGUAAUACGGAGGGUGCAAGCGUUAAUCGGCAUUACUGGGCGUAAAGCGCACGCAGGCGGUUUGUUAAGUCAGAUGUGAAAUCCCCGGGCUCAACCUGGGAACUGCAUCUGAUACUGGCAAGCUUGAGUCUCGUAGAGGGGGGUAGAAUUCCAGGUGUAGCGGUGAAAUGCGUAGAGAUCUGGAGGAAUACCGGUGGCGAAGGCGGCCCCCUGGACGAAGACUGACGCUCAGGUGCGAAAGCGUGGGGAGCAAACA
rnacentral:rRNA from 1 species